CGGGGCGGGUGAGUAAUGUCUGGGAAACUGCCUGAUGGAGGGGGAUAACUACUGGAAACGGUAGCUAAUACCGCAUAACGUCGCAAGACCAAAGAGGGGGACCUUCGGGCCUCUUGCCAUCGGAUGUGCCCAGAUGGGAUUAGCUAGUAGGUGGGGUAACGGCUCACCUAGGCGACGAUCCCUAGCUGGUCUGAGAGGAUGACCAGCCACACUGGAACUGAGACACGGUCCAG
rnacentral:rRNA from 1 species